AUUAUUAUUAUUUUACAAGUCUUUAUUAUAAAUCUUAUACACAGACAACAAUAUCACGAGAGCAGAGGCAGCCCUAUUUCCUAACCUUUUUUUUCUAGAAAAUCUUAGUGAAAUUCGAAACCGAUACAUAUCGAAUGGAUAUGUAGACAAGUAAUCCAAUGAGGCAAUGAACACUUGUUACCAUGGUUACGUUUGUUUAAAUUAAAAAUAGUUUAAUAACGAAUCAAACAUCCUUCCUAGUAUUAAUUUUAUUCAGUCUGUAAAAGAAAAUAAUAAAACGAUAUUUCACACAAAAAUAUGUAUAGAACUGAUUUAUGGGUGUAACAUAUUUAGUUAAGAACUAUAUUAAUAUAUUUAUUACUAAGCCUUAUAAUACUCGUCAAUUUCAUUGUAAAGUUCUAAUACGGUUACUAAUACCUCUAUUAAGUAAUAUUAAAAUCAUAUUGUGAAGUCUCUGUGAAUAUUUUAAAUAUUAUAAAAGUAUUAUAUAAUCAAGCUAAGUCUAUCGAUCUCUUAAAUAUAUAAUAAAUAACUAUUAGAA